rnacentral:rRNA from 1 species
UACAGAGGUCUCAAGCGUUGUUCGGAUUCAUUGGGCGUAAAGGGUGCGUAGGUGGCGCGCUAAGUCAGGUGUGAAAUCUCGGGGCUUAACUCCGAAACUGCAUUUGAUACUGGCGUGCUUGAGGACUGGAGAGGAGACUGGAAUUCAAUGGUGUAGCAGUGAAAUGCGUAGAGAUCAUGAGGAAGACCAGUGGCGAAGGCGGGUCUCUGGACAGUUCCUGACACUGAGGCACGAAGGCCAGGGAGCAAACGGG